rnacentral:tRNA from 1 species
GAGAGAGGCCAUGAGGCAGCAAGAACUGCUAAUUCUCGUCAACAUGGUUAAACUCCAUGACUCACUCG